AUCCAGCAAAACUGAUAUUUCUUAAAGUAAGGAAAUCGAAGGAAAACGGGUAAUUUUUAGCCAUAUCAUUUGAGAAAAAAAUCCGCGGUCACAAUGUAAAUAAUGUUAACAAUUAUAGGUCAAAGUACGGCCUUCACGACGGAGCCUUGGCUCACCCCGAAUAGCAAUCUCAGCUUGUUUUUGCAUAAGUUUGAGUUGCUUCCAGGUUCAAGCAAUACUGAUGUUUCUUAAAGUAAGGAAAUCGAAGGGAAACGGGUCAUUUUUAGCCAAUGACUUUCCAGGUUCAAGCAAUACUGAUGUUUCUUAAGGUAAGGAAAUCAAAGGGAAACGGGUCAUUUUUAGCCAAUGACUUAGGGGGACAAAAAUCGGCAGGGGCUGCGCCCCCCAACCCCCUAUCUUGGGGGCCUUAAUCGGUGACCCCCAUACCCCUGCCUCCCCUGAAUUCGAACCCUAGUUACGGCCCUGCUAGUGGAAUAAUUUUUCAGUAUUACAGUAAUUUCUCUCGCUAACAUAAUAUACGUUGUUACAUACUCGUUGUAGAGAAGCAAAAACUUACUUUUCUUUACGUGUACCAUUAUUCUUUUAUUUGUCUUAAUAAAUAU
rnacentral:lncRNA from 1 species